rnacentral:rRNA from 1 species
GAUGAACGCUGGCGGCGUGCCUAAUACAUGCAAGUCGAGCGAACAGACGAGGAGCUUGCUCCUCUGACGUUAGCGGCGGACGGGUGAGUAACACGUGGAUAACCUACCUAUAAGACUGGGAUAACUUCGGGAAACCGGAGCUAAUACCGGAUAAUAUAUUGAACCGCAUGGUUCAAUAGUGAAAGACGGUUUUGCUGACACUUAUAGAUGGAUCCGCGCCGCAUUAGCUAGUUGGGAAGGUAACGGCUUACCAAGGCGGCGAGGCGUAGCCGACCCGAGAGGGAGGUCGGCCAGCCGGGAUGUGAGACACGGCCCACACUCUGACACGAGGAAGCGGUAGGGACUCUUCCGGAAUGGGGGAGAGCCUGACGGAGCAACGCCGCGUGAGGGAUGAAGGUCUUCGGAUCGGAAAACGCUGUUAUUAGUGAAGAACAAAUGUGUAAGUAACUAUGCACGUAUUGACGGUACCUAAUCAGAAAGCCACGGCUAACUACGUG